rnacentral:rRNA from 1 species
GUGUCAGCAGCCGCGGUAAGACAGAGGGUGCAAACGUUGUUCGGAAUUACUGGGCGUAAAGCGAGUGUAGGCGGUUUCCUAAGUCAGGUGUGAAAGCCCCGGGCUCAACCCGGGAAGUGCACUUGAAACUGGGAGGCUAGAGUAUCGGAGAGGUUGGUGGAAUUCUCGGUGUAGAGGUGAAAUUCGUAGAUAUCGAGAGGAACACCGGUGGCGAAGGCGGCCAACUGGACGAAUACUGACGCUGAGACUCGAAAGCGUGGGGAGCAAACAGGAUUAGAAACCCUGGUAGUCC